UAAUUUAAUAAUAAUUAUGAUUUAUGAAUAGUUUCAAAUUAACAAGCAUGAAGUUUUUUCACACUAUAAAGCUACCAAAUGAUUCUUAUAUCUAGAUUCAUAAAAGUAAAAAUAUGGUUAAAGUUUAUAUGUUUACUUAUGUUAUGGUUAUCUUUUUUUCCAUAAUAAUUUCUAUAGCAAAUAGCUUGUUCCUCACCAUGUGCCGAAGUAACGAUGAUUGUCGAUAUCUUUCGUGUAUUGAUGGUGUAAUUCCAACCUGUGGGUUUCCAUUUCAUGUGACCGGAUCUGAGGGAUUUGGACUUUGUGGAUGUAUACGUCGUUUAAAUUAGUGGCUUGUGAAUGUAUACUUAUGUACAAAGCAGUAAAAUUUAAUUAAAAUAAAAAUAAAAUUAUGUUGCUGCUAUCUCGAGUGGAUUAGUUUUCGCAGUUGCGCACGGAUGAUCCCUGUAAUUUACCAAAAAAUUAUGUUGUUGCUCUUAUGAUUUGUCUCACUUAUAUUUAUUUUAGUAAAUUAUAUACUCCCGGGUUUUCAAAGAAGUUUGAAUAACAUUUUUCUCA